CCUACGGGAGGCAGCAGUGAGGAAUAUUGGACAAUGGGUGAGAGCCUGAUCCAGCCAUCCCGCGUGCAGGAAGACGGCCCUAUGGGUUGUAAACUGCUUUUAUAUGGGAAUAAACCACCUUUCGUGAAGGGUGUGAAGGUACCAAGAAAA
rnacentral:rRNA from 1 species